ACGGGAGGCAGCAGUGGGGGAUAUUGCACAAUGGGGGAAACCCUGAUGCAGCAACGCCGCGUGAGGGAAGAAGGUUUUCGGAUUGUAAACCUCUGUCCCCGGGGAAGAUAAUGACGGUACCCGGGGAGGAAGCUCCGGCUAACUACGUGCCAGCAGCCGCGGUAAUACGUAGGGAGCGAGCGUUGUCCGGAAUUACUGGGUGUAAAGGGUGCGUAGGCGGCUGUGCAAGUCAGGCGUGAAAUGCAGGGGCUUAACCCCUGAGCUGCGUUUGAAACUGCACGGCUUGAGUGAAGUAGAGGUAGGCGGAAUUCCCGGUGUAGCGGUGAAAUGCGUAGAGAUCGGGAGGAACACCAGUGGCGAAGGCGGCCUACUGGGCUUUAACUGACGCUGAGGCACGAAAGCAUGGGUAGCAAACAGGAUUAGAUACCCUGGUA
rnacentral:rRNA from 1 species